rnacentral:lncRNA from 1 species
UUGUCUCCCAGGCUGGAAUGCAGUGGUGUGAUCACAGCUCACUGCAGCCCUCUGAUCCUUUCUAAUUCCAUCCUUGGGCUACACACAAAUGACUAUUUAGUGGUAUUUCCUAUAUGAAUUUAAGCUCCAGUAAAUCAUUUCCACUCCCUGUGUCUGAUUCUUCAUCUAUGAAAAGCAUUCUGCUUACUCUUUUAGUGGAGGUCGGGGGAAGGCAAGAUGGGGAGGUGCAGUUUCUACCUAACUGGAAACUUAAACAAAGGAUGACAUUUUUCACUUACACCUGUCAUUGGAAAUUAUAAACUGUUCUUCCAGCCCAAGACUAGGCAAGUCUUCGAAGGAAGUGGUUGUAGUACUGCCUCUGGUAUCAAGCUAAGAGACAUUAUCUUGGAAUGCUAACCUGAAUAUGUGAAGAAAUUUUCAUUUCCAAGAGUCCAGAGAGGCUCUCAAAUACAUUUUUCUUUUUUCACUUUAAUGUGAUUUUCUUUUAAUCUUGACAUAUGUACUACAGAUAAAAUCUUGCAUAAUUUGAUAUUUUUAUUUGGACUAUAACCUCUAGGUGACUGUCAGUAUUAGUAAAGGAAUGAUUCAGUGCAGGAAUAUUGCUCAGCUAAUCUUGUGACAUUUUGAGCAUGAGUUGUCAUUUUUCUGGCAUGGUUUGUUAUUGAACAAAUUAGAUUUCCUAAGAACACGGUGGCCAUUACUUUUUCUGAUGUAAUGAAACACUCGGUUAACUUGUUUUAGGUCGCCUUGCAAAUCUGCACUACAUUACUUUCAUUUUCCUCAAAUCUCACAAAUCAUUUGGUCUGAGAGCUUGAAUGAGAAUUCUCCAAAGUAAACUUGAAAGCUUCAAGGUCCCACAGCAAUAUUCUCCAAGAGACUACUUGGCCACAUCUGCAGAGGGCUGAGGUUUUGGGUGGGCUUCACAGUCUCUAAGGCCUCCUGUGUCCUAUGGCCUUGGUGAAGGCUCUUAUGUGGUUCUCAAGAAGCCCAUGUUUUAAGAAGUCCACCUUUUAUUUCAAGAUUCAGCACUACCACUGAGGAAGGAGCAUGACAAGCAAAAUUUAUUUGGAUAAUUCAGUAAAUGACAUAUUUGAUUUGGAAGCAUAGUUUGUCAGAAUGCAGGAAACAAGGGAAUGACAAGGCAGCAUCAUGUGCAGGGAGAAGAGGCACAAGAAUGUGGAAUAUGUGACCCAUGUACAUGAAGAUAUUCCUGGUUCACUCAAAAGUACGAUUUUGAGAAGCCCACCUAGAGUCAGAAGGCCCUUGAAAGAUGCAGACCCUCAACUUUGGACUUCCCAGCCUCUAGAACUGUAAGAAAUAAAUCUCUGUUCUUUGCAAAUUACUUGAUCUCAGGUAUUCUGUUAAGAUAGGUGGUAUUGUCCAGCAUCUCCUUAAUAUGCAACCCAUGGGCUUCCUCACACUGUUGGGUCUCUGGGGCAGAAUCCUCAAUGAGCCAUUUGGAUUAAAAAGCCCUGGAGUAUAGCCUGGCUUGCGAUCUGAUAAUGUAGAUAAUUUCUCAUGGAAAUUUUGGUAGAGACUAAAUCCCCAGAAGUGCUUAAGUUGAGAAAGAAGGUGUUUGAUAUCCAAGGUGCAUUUAAACAAAAGACCCAAGCCUAAUGUGGAAGGUGUUCUUUCCCUCAUUGGAGUCCAGGGGACACCCUGCAGACAUAAUGUAAUUACACAGACAUGCAUCCUUUACCAUGUUGCAGACCCACCUCUGAUAUUGGUAAAGCAAUAAUGCUGAUAUCAGGAAGAGCAGUAAGGCUUUCUCAGCUGAUACAGCAAUUUAAGGUUUGCACUCCAUAUCUGACACUGCCAUAAGUACUAGAAAUACAAAGAUGAGUACAAUAGUUUUGUGUUCCAGGAGGUCAUAUCUCCUGGGGGAGAUAAACAUAGAAUACAAUAUAGGAUGUAUUGGAUAAAAAGUAAAAGAAUAAUGAUUGAAGUAAAUAAGAAUAAAGUGCAGCAGUGAUCAUGGAUGGGUACAGAGGGGAUCAGGAAAAAAAUUAUAAAGGAAGACAUGCUUGAUGUAGAUCUUGAAAGAUGAGUAGAGAUUUUUCCAAACACCUGAAAAAGAAGAGCCACAAGGAAACACAGCAUGUUUGGAAAAGUCUGAGGAAUUCUGUGUUGCUGGAGCAUAAGCUUAAUAGUCCAAGAAGCGAGAAGGAGAGGCCCUCUGGGGAUAAGGGGAAGCAACCAGAAUUGGAAAGCCUGGCAGGCUGUGCCAAGGCAUUUGUACUUUAUCUUACAUGUGAUGGAGAGCCAUUCAAGCCUUUUGAGCAGGGGGAAAAGAUUAUUAUAUUUGCAUUUUAAAAGUUGAUGGUGGUGUGGUGUGUGAAAAAUGAAGUGGAAACAAGCAAAACUAGCAUCAGGGAGGCCAACUGGGAAACUAAACACAGUGACCCAUUUCAGUGAUAAGGAGGCCUGUUUGUGGGGUGGAACUGAGAAGAUAAAUUAUGAAAGACCUCAAGGAAGCAUAUCAUCAAUUUUCAGGAUAUGAGAGACCACUGCAACAAAUAAUACUUUGAAUGGAAUGCACGAGUGUAGUCGGGGGGAGGGAGUUGGAAGCCAGUGGACAGAGGAAGAACUACAAAGUUAACUCAGGAAAUUUGAUUCGGCUUUCACACUUUCCACUCUGUCCACAGCUGCUCCUCUGCUUCCCUUCCCUCCCAGCUGCUCUGCCAAGGUAUCAGUCCUCAUUAUCUACUGCCUCCCUGAAGCAUCUGACACCAUGAAAAUCUCCCUGCUGGAAAUAUUUUCUCUCCUUAGCAGCCAUGACACCACACUCUAUUGGUUUCUUUCCCUUUUAUUUGGGUGCUGCUUAUGAUUUUUUAUUAGCUCAUUUUUCUCUGCCUAGUUCCUUCAGAUUUAUCCUAGACCUCUUUCUCUACUUACAUAUUUACCAUGCAAUCCCAUUCAUUUCCAUGUCUCUAAUAUCCAUGUUCAUGCCAGGGACCUCAAAAUAUGUAUUCCCAGGAAAGAUCUGUCUUCAGAAUCUUAUUUCUAUAUGUGAGACUACCUACUUGAUCUUCUCUUUUGAUAUCCCAUAGGUACCUCAACUAAACAUAGCAAAAACCUCAAAAUGAUUAUCACCACCUCUGUCUAGCUCACACUUGUUCCUUUCCCUCUCUUUCUCAUGGGUGUAAGACACAUUCUUUACCACAUAUCUGGAAACCAUCCUUGACUCAUCGUUGUGCCUUAGCAACCACAUCUGAUCAAUCACAAAGUCCUCUUCAUUCUACUUAUGAAUUGCCUCCAAAAUCCAUCUAUUUUCUCUCCAUUCUUACUGCUGCUAUUACAGGACAGGUCAUUGCUGUCUAAAAUCCUAUAUGACUGCACCUGAUCUCUUUGACUACCAUCCUGUGAUAGAUUACCUAUAGACUCUCUUACAUGCUGGUUCUUCUUCCUGAAACGUUAUUAUUACACCUUCUCCCACCAACUUUGAUAUUUCCAACUACUAUUCAUUCCCCUAGUUUUAGCUCAUUCAUUACUUUUUGCUAGGAACCUUUCUCGACCCUCUCCUCCCUACUUAGUUGUCACUCAAAUGAGUUCCCACAAUACUCUGUUUAAAAAGUUUUACUCUCUUGCUAUGCUUACAUCAUAAAGAUGGCCUAUCUCAUUCCUUGCUGUAUCGCCAGUGCCUAACACAGUGACUCCAUGCUUAAUAAAUAUUUAUGGAAUGAACACAUAAAUAUAUUCAAGUAAUUUUAUUGAAAUAUAACAUGCAUAAAGAAAAGAGCAUAGAGAAGCACACGUCCCAACAAAUGAAAUAUCACAAAGUAAACUCAUGGGUGUAAACCAAUUCAAAGAUAGAACACCCCAGAAGCCCUUCGUAUAACCAACCCCAAUUAUUAACCGCCUCCUCUUUUCCAAAGGUCAUUUUUACUCUGUCUAUCAUAAUAGCUGAGUUUUGCCUGUCUUUGAAAUCAAUAUAAAUAUAAAUAUACUCUUUUGCAUAUGGUCUUCUCACUAAAUGUUUGUGAGAUUGAUCCAUGUUAUUGCAUAUAACAGUUCUUUCAUUUUCAUUGCUAUCUUGGUUUAUCACUGCAUGAAUAUGCCAUAAUUUACCAAAAUUUGUUCAUUCCACUUUUAAAUAUCAAUAAAGUUGUUUUCGAUGUGAGACUAUUAUAUAUAAUAUUGCUAUGAACAUUUAUUUAUAUGCUGUUUAUA